rnacentral:rRNA from 1 species
CAGUCGCCGCGGUAAUGCGAAGGGGGCUAGCGUUGUUCGGAUUUACUGGGCGUAAAGGGCGCGUAGGCGGGCUGAUAAGUCAGGGGUGAAAUCCCAAGGCUUAACCUUGGAACUGCCUUUGAUACUGUUUGUCUUGAGUUCGAGAGAGGUAAGUGGAACUGCGAGUGUAGAGGUGAAAUUCGUAGAUAUUCGCAAGAACACCAGUGGCGAAGGCGGCUUACUGGCUCGAAACUGACGCUGAGGCGCGAAAGCGUGGGGAGCAAACAGGAUUAGAUACCCCGGUAGUCCCUGUCUCUUAUAA